rnacentral:rRNA from 1 species
AUAGAGUUUGAUCAUGGCUCAGAGCGAACGCUGGCGGCAGGCUUAACACAUGCAAGUCGAACGGGCACCUUCGGGUGUCAGUGGCAGACGGGUGAGUAACACGUGGGAACGUACCCUUUGGUUCGGAACAACUCUGGGAAACUGGAGCUAAUACCGGAUACGCCCUUGGCCUAUGGCCCUGGGGAAAGGUUUACUGCCGAAGGAUCGGCCCGCGUCUGAUUAGCUAGUUGGUGAGGUAACGGCUCACCAAGGCGACGAUCAGUAGCUGGUCUGAGAGGAUGAUCAGCCACACUGGGACUGAGACACGGCCCAGACUCCUACGGGAGGCAGCAGUUGGGAAUCUUGGACAAUGGGCGCAAGCCUGAUCCAGCCAUGCCGCGUGAGUGAUGAAGGCCUUAGGGUUGUAAAGCUCUUUUGGCGGGGACGAUAAUGACGGUACCCGCAGAAUAAGUCCCGGCUAACUUCGUGCCAGCAGCCGCGGUAGCCCAAUCGC